rnacentral:sRNA from 1 species
GCAGGCAGAAUUACACUCCUAGCGCCUGCCCCACCCAGGCUGGGGGUGUCUGCCUGGUGAGCAGCGCCAGGGGAGUGUAAACAACACAGGUUGGCCGGGUCGUGGAAACCUUUCUAAAGAAUCGCUUGUGUUUUGUUUGAAGGCUCAACCACAGGAAUUAUCUCUUGGAGUCUCCGCAUAGGUUCAGUGUUGCUGACCUCCAGCAGAUCGCAGACGGGGUGUAUGAAGGAUUCCUCAAGGCCCUGAUUGAAUUUGCCUCCCAGCAUGUCUACCACUGCGACCUGUGCACCCAGCGCGGCUUCAUCUGCCAGAUCUGCCAGCACCACG